rnacentral:rRNA from 1 species
UACAGAGGGUGCAAGCGUUAAUCGGAAUUACUGGGCGUAAAGCGCGCGUAGGCGGUUGUAUAAGUUGGAGGUGAAAUCCCCGGGCUCAACCUGGGAAUUGCCUUCAAAACUGUACGGCUAGAGUGUGGGAGAGGAAGGUAGAAUUCCAGGUGUAGCGGUGAAAUGCGUAGAUAUCUGGAGGAAUACCGAUGGCGAAGGCAGCCUUCUGGCCUAACACUGACGCUGAGGUGCGAAAGCAUGGGGAGCAAACAGG